rnacentral:misc_RNA from 1 species
GAUGAAGAACGCAGUGAAAUGCGAUAAGUAGUGUGAAUUGCAGAAUUCAGUGAAUCAUCGAAUCUUUGAACGCACAUUGCGCCCCUCGGUAUUCCGUGGGGCAUGCCUGUUCGAGCGUCAUUUAACCCCUCAAGCCUAGCUUGGUAUUGGGUGCUUGUCCCGCCUCUCGCGCGGCGACUCACCUCAAAGUCAUUGGCAGCCCGCAUCUCGCCGGCCGUGAGCGCAGCACAGACGCGCUCUUGGCAACGACGGAUCGGCUCUCCAAAAGCUUAUUUCAACCACUGACCUCGGAUCAGGUAGGGAUACCCGCUGAACUUAAGCAUAUCAAUAAGCGGAGGA